GCAGCCUUUUGGCUGCAAACUGUCGGCUGGUUGGUUUGUUUACAGCAACCAUAGCAACGCACAGAGCUGACCAUGAGCCGUAAACAGACAAGAGGCUGUAAACUGGGGUAAAAACCCUGAUUGAGACGCAUAUUCCGAAUGCGCUGUAUACAUGUCCAAAGAAUGCCUCUAAAACCAGAAUAAUACCGGAAUAUCCUACGUCUUAAUCAGAAAAUGCUAUAUUCGGAAAAAGGCCUUACUGGGAAUAUCCAACCAGAAUAUGCUGGUUACAUGACCUGUAUCAAAUUUUGAAUAUUGUCAUAUUCAGAAUAAUAGUGGAAUAUUGGUGUGCAUGUAAACGUACUCAAUGAGACUGAAUGAACAGUUAAAAUUCCCCAUGUGGACAUGUGUGUUUCUCGGCCAAGCUUGUCCAUCUCCCUGCUCACAUCUGGAGAAGAAAGAAACAGGCACUUGUUGAUCAUGUUGCUCACAGUGUGAUCUCUCGGCUAGGUCUAUAACUAGUUUUUUUUGUCUCAUGGCUAACGUGGUAAAUUGACUCAUUGACACACUUUGGUUCAUUGCUUAGGAUUAUUUUGUUCAGGAUUGUGUUUAAGGCACCGUUCAAAGCUCAGGUGUAUACUGCUUCAGAGUGCAAUAAUGAAUGACCUUUUCACAGAUGUAAACAUUCAAAAUUGACUCAAGUUGAUUUCCUGUUUCAGUGUGUGUGAAUAUUAACUGACAGGAAGUUAACAAGGGGCCAGGCUGUUGCCUAGCAAUGGAAUUCCAUGGAAAAGGGAUGUAGUCCUCAAUGAAACGUACUGUGUAAGGUAUGAACAAUUCAAAGUUGUACUUUUAAAUGAGACAUACAGAACCUUUUUCUUCCCCUUAAACAACAGUUGACAGUUCUGUGCCUCCAUACUAUCAGCAGGGUAGUGCUUUUAGGUUCCUGUCACAGUAACAUAUCUGAUAGCCAGUCAGCACGGUCAUUCUUUUACAUCAAAACCUCUUCUUGGCCUGACUUGUUGGGUGAAAACUGCUACGGAGUGAAGGAAGAGCAACCUCCCGUCGGAUGAACUCUUUCAGGAUUUUUGACUUGAGCCCAUUAUAGCCCAUACAUAUUUUAUUCUUGAUUUUGUUUAUUAUUUAAUCUAUUCUAUUCAAAGUUUUCUUCAUGAAUGUUGGUCGCCUGCUCUAUUCCUUGUAGCAGUGGUUGUUACUUCUCUUUGGAAUUGAUCAAUACAAAGUUCACUGCUCUCUGGUGUAAUUGGUAAUCUUGGAAGUAUUGGCUUUAUGAUACUACUGAGUCAUAUGGGUUUUAGAGUCAUGCUUAAGUGUAAAUGGACUUGCAGCAGCUGUGAGGGUGAUGGUUCAGGUGGUGAUUGGUGUUCUGUGAACUGGUCUUGCUUCUCUGGAAAUUGUUUGUGCAAUUCAUUAAUGAACUGACAGCAGAUCAGACAUUUAAACCUUGAUAUUUUAAUGUUGUGAAAAUAAGGGCUGGGUACCCUUACUCUUCUUACUCAUUCCAGUUGUAUUGGUCGAUCGUGGUCGGGGGUGGGGCUUUGUGAACCAGGGUUUGGAAAGACUGUCUCUGUCUUUCUCUUAUUUAUUGAUGUCUUUGCAGAUGUUCUCGUCUGCGGCCGCGGCUCUUUGAAGUGGAUUCAGUGUUUACAGAGAGACACCACUCUUUGCAACAUUCACGUCAUCGCCGGCGCUCUCUCUAACAAGAAUGUUAUUUUGGCACGGUACGGUCUCCUCCAAAUGACUUUUAAUCUGAUCCUGCAGGGGCAUUUGUAGCGGUUCGUCUUAAACAACUCUAGCACAAACUAGGUAUAAAACUUUCUAGCAAUAUUUUGUUCAUAGGGUUUCACUACGAUAGCAUUUGUUAAUGGCAACACUUCAAAAUACUGUAAAAGUAACUUGUUAUAUGGUUGGCCGCAUGUUAAACUUGAUUCUGUCCUGUGAUAUUUAAGUUUUGCUUUAUUUGAAUGGCCUUACGGCUGCUAAAUGAAAGAAACCCACCUUUUCUUAAUGAGUGGCUUUUUAUAACCUUUCAGCAAAAGCAAAGACAGAAUGUAAUUUCCAUAAUGCAAUGUUGGACCAGGUUUCCUGUGAAUCAAUGUAAGUGCAUCGCCUCUCAGAGGGACUUGCUAUAGUGGAGGACUUAUUAUUUCCCUGUUCAGAAAGGAUAUUUAAUCAUUUUGGCUCAGUUUUGUGUUUGUUUGGUGUCUCCCAAAGAGGACUGUGUCAAACUGGUAUCUAAAGCAGGGGGAACAAUUGCCACAGUUACUGGAACUCUGUUAAAAUGGACCUGAACGGCUUCAUCACACACACAAGAUACUGUGCUGCUUCUGGAGACUUGCAGGGGCACCGGAGGGGGGGGAAACCAGAUAUAAAACAGCUGUUUGUUUCAGACAAGAAAAGGAUGAGAGAGCUGUAUCAGAGUUUUUGUUUUCUUCUUUUCAUAUCUCUAGGUGAAUUGCAAUACUUGUGUUUAUAGUUUCUGAGGUGUCAGGGGUGUUCAGUUUGCAAUAAAUGGUAUAUUCUUCUGUGUACAGUUACAUUUUUUUUAAUUACAAAAAUUACUGUACUUGUCUAUUUUUUGUGUGAUGGUUUCAAAAAGAACAAUUGUUUUAAAGUGUAAAGGAAAUCUUAGUAUUUUUUUUAGUUUUUUGUCUUAAAAUACUGAUGCAGGAUUUAUUCUUUAAAUAAAUACAUUCAUCUGUGUUA